UACAGAGGUCCCAAGCGUUGUUCGGAUUCAUUGGGCGUAAAGGGUGCGUAGGUGGCGCCGUAAGUCGGGUGUGAAAUUUCGGAGCUUAACUCCGAAACUGCAUUCGAUACUGCGGUGCUUGAGGACUGGAGAGGAGACUGGAAUUCAUGGUGUAGCAGUGGAAUGCGUAGAGAUCAUGAGGAAGACCAGUGGCGAAGGCGGGUCUCUGGACAGUUCCUGACACUGAGGCACGAAGGCCAGGGGAGCAAACGGG
rnacentral:rRNA from 1 species